UACGGGGGGGGCAAGCGUUGUUCGGAAUUACUGGGCGUAAAGGGCUCGUAGGCGGCCAACUAAGUCGGACGUGAAAUCCCUCGGCUUAACCGGGGAACUGCGUCCGAUACUGGAUGGCUUGAGUAUGGGAGAGGGAUGCGGAAUUCCAGGUGUAGCGGUGAAAUGCGUAGAGACCCGGAGGAACACCAGUGGCGAAAGCGGCUUCCUGGUCCAGCACCGACGUUCAGGCACGAAAGCGUGGGGAGCAAACAGG
rnacentral:rRNA from 1 species